GAUGAACGCUGGCGGCGUGCCUAACACAUGCAAGUCGAGCGAUCAGACGUGGAGCUUGCUCCUCUGAUGUUAGCGGCGGACGGGUGAGUAACACGUGGAUAACCUACCUAUAAGACUGGGAUAACUUCGGGAAACUGGAGCUAAUACUGGAUAAUAUAUUUAACCGCAUGGUUCAAUAGUGAAAGAGGUUUUUUCUGUCACUUUUAGCUGGCUCCGUGUCGGCUUGGGUAGGUGGUAAGGUAACGGCUUACCAAGGCCACGAUGCGUAGCCGACCUGAGAGGGUGAUAGGCGACACUGGAGGUGAGACGGCGUCCAGAGUCCUACGGGAGGCACCAGUAGGGAAUGUUAGGCAAUGGGCGAAAGACUGACGGAGCAACGCCGCGUGAGUGAUGAAGGUCUUCGGAUCGGAAAACUCGGUUAUGGGGGAAGAACAAAUGUGGAAGUAACUAUGCACGUCGUGACGGUACCUGAAGAGGAAGCCCCGGCUAACUACGUG
rnacentral:rRNA from 1 species